UACGUAGGACCCAAGCGUUAUCCGGAAUUACUGGGCGUAAAGAGUUGCGUAGGUGGCAGAGUAAGUAAGAAGUGAAAGCGUUCGGCUCAACCGGAUAUACAUUUCUUAAACUGCUCAGCUAGAGAACGGGAGAGGUAGAUGGAAUUCCCAGUGUAGGAGUGAAAUCCGUAGAUAUUGGGAGGAACACCGAUGGCGUAGGCAGUCUACUGGCCCGUUUCUGACACUAAGGCACGAAAGCGUGGGGAGCGAACAGG
rnacentral:rRNA from 1 species